AGCAGAGACGUACUGCCAGCACUAGUGAUAAGGAAAGCAUGGCAUACAGAAAGGCGAAACGUACAAGUCGAUGACAUUGUAGUCAUGGCGGACAACAAUGCUAUCCGCGGUAAAUGGACCAUCGGCAGAGUAAUCGAGGUGUAUCCCGGGACAGAUGGCCGAGUCCGUAAUGUCAAAGUAAAAACACCAGCCGGAGAGUACAGCCGCCCAGUCACCAAGAUUGCUGUUAUAUAUCCUGCUGAGGGAUACGACUAAAGAAAGUUAGGCUGACUUCAAGAAGGAUAAGGACUACGCCCUUAUCGGGGCGGAGAAUGUUUCGUUUAAUAAAUAGGCGUUGCCUCGUGUUGACAGAUUUAUUCGAUGACAAGAAUCGUGAUUGACAUUAAUUCAAUAGAUUGAUUUAAAAGCGUUAGAUUAUUAUGUUUAAGUCAGUUUUUCAGCAGAAUCGAAGUGAGAAAGAAGUUAUUUUGUUAUCGUUUUUCUGUCUCUAAAUCCGCUUACCUGGAGAAUCUGCUAACCCGUAAAGUGAGACUGUUGUAACGACCCGCCACAGAAAUCGAAUAAUUAUUAAAGCUUGGCUUAAUAUUAUACGGUUUGUGGUGGUCAUUUGAUCUAACCAGUUCCGAGUAAGGAAACAUU